CAUAGUUAUUGAGAAGCUACCUAGGACUUUGUUGCUUUCCAUCAUUCCAUGUACCUGUCCUUACAGUUUCAUUGGAGAUGUUUUCUAUAUUUUCAAGUCAAGUAUUUCUGUCUAGUUAGGCAUGUGUCCACUUAUUUGGACAAAAGAUUAACAGAUGAGUUUAUGAUAUAGACCUUACAUUUGAAGGCAUAAAAGAUUUUGUUAUUGGCUCUAGAUCAUUAUUUUGUUCAUUAUGUAACUAAUUGAUCCUCAUAUUUAACAUAAAUGCCCUAAGGUCAGAAGAAGUCAUCACAUGAUAACUCUUUUGAUGCCUGAAUGGAACUUGGGGAGUAGGAACUACUGUAAAGUGUUCCAUGAAAAAGGUUCAUCUGAUAAUAAUUUAUGUAAAUUUGGUCUUUUGUUGAGGCUAGGACCACAUGCUUAAGAAUUAUAACUCUGUCUACAGGUCAUACCUUUGGCCAACGAUCACAAGUUAAGAGGGACUUAGCCUUCACACUUGACAACAAUACUUAAUAAUUGUGCAUCAGAACUUUUAUUUGCAUAGCUCUUGUUUCUUUCUGAGCUUGUAUGAUUAUAAAAACAGGUAAAAGUAGGUGAAUGAAAAGCUAAAUAUGCCUAUAAUUUCUUGUGGAUGGGAUUGUGUAUUGGAUUUGGAACCAAGGCUGGCUCUAUGAAUCAGUAGUGGUAUAAGGCAUCUGACAGGCUUCCUUGUUUGACUUACCUGCUUUUUACUUAACCAGCAAGUAUUUGUUAGAAUUUAUAAUGUAAGUAUACAUACAUGUUUUUGUAUCUACUAUCAUAUAUCUUAAACUCUUAGCAGUUUGAUGUAUGAUUUGUGUAUAUAAAUGUAUGUGUGUAUGCAUAGGACUUUUUGUAACUUUUUGUAUUUAUUUUGUCUUUAUUUUUCAUGCCUUUUUCUAAGCCUUUUUCUUUUCCUUUUUUUAUUAAGAAAGGAAGUAGCUGUUGGGAGUUCCCAACGGCUAGAAAUCUAGCCGUUGGGAGCCCCAACAGCCACUUCCUCUUCCUCUUUUCUUCCUCCUUUCUUAUAUACUUCCUCUAUAAAUAGGGCACUUGGGACCUUUGUUCUUUUAAGGCUUUUUGGCCUCUCUUGUGUAUUCUUCUCUUGAGAUUAAUAUAUUUGGUAUCUUCUCCUCAAGUUUGAGGUUUGGCUUUGCAUUAUCUAUUGAAGUUGUUGGGAUCUUCAAGAGUGUAUCUCUUGAAGCAUUUGUAUUCUCGAAUUUGGACCUGAUUUACAUGGUAUCAGAGCAAGGUUGUGGCUCUUUGUCGUGCUGUUUUUUUUCAAGACUUGAAGUUUCAGCUAUUACUCUUUCUUUGGAGCUGUGAAGCACUCCAAGUGUUCGAUGUAUUGUCGGCUGUGAUUUAACACAAACACAAGAGGGUUUUGUUUGCUGACCUCUUUUGGUGAUAUUUGUGACGGGAUCAAGCUUCCUUGAGGUGAAGAUUGAAGCUGUUUUUGGCACAUCAAAAGCUUCUUUUUUUGUGGCUGUUUUUCAUCCUAACACUACCUCAACGUCUCCUCUACAAGGUACACAUUAUGGAUGAAAGAAAUUCUACUCCUCCUCUCCCUAAACUUACUUCAUCAAACUAUGUUUCUUGGGCAAAAACUAUGGAACAUUUCAUUAGAAGUAAAGGCUUAUGGGGACUUGUUGAUGGAUCUAAAAGUGAACCUCAAUUAGUCCUAACCAAAACCAUAGAUGGUAAAGCCCAAGAACUAGAUGGAGUGGAAAAAGACAAGGUCAUGAGUGAAUACGAGAGAAAAUGGGAAGAGUGGAAGAUAGGACAUCACAAGAUUAUCACUUGGAUUAUUGCUUGUGUUGAUACUACAACUAUGGGCCAAAUAGCAAAACAUAAUUUUGCUCAUGAUGCUUGGGAUUUCCUCAAGAAAACCCACACUAUGAAAGAUGUGGCUUACAUGUGCAAUCUUCAAAUGAAGAUUGCAAGUCUCCAACAAGGGGAUAAGUCCAUUAAGCAAUACGUUGGAGAAAUGGAGCAAUUAUGGGACGAACUUGCCCUAUUUGAACCCGAAUGGUAUGAUCCAAGAGACAUUGGAGUGAGGGAAAAACAAAUCCAAAGGGAAAAAUUUUAUAAAUCCAUUCUUGGUCUUAGACCGGAAUAUGAUGGAGUCAAAACUUCCUUGCUUCAUAGACAUAAGGUGCCAUCUAUGAAUGAAGCCAUAGCCGAGCUUCAAAUGGAGGAGAAUAGACUCAAUUUUUGUAAAGAAAAGAGUGAAAGUGUUCUUGCUACUUCAAGACCCGGUGCUCAUAUGAGAACUUAUAGACCUCCUCAUUUUAAUCGAAAUUAUGAGAAUAAUGGCAACAAGAAGAUUAUAUGUUUCCAUUGUCAAGAAGAAGGACACACUAAACCUAGGUGUCCUAAAUUGAGGAGAUUUGACAAAAAGACAAGUGUGGCUGGGACAAUGUAUGAAGAAAGCAAUCGAUUUGACCUAGACAAGCUUAUUGAUGCUCUUCAACCACUACUCAAAGGGAAAGGGACUUCUCCAACUUCCGGAGCAACGAUAGCAUCUACAUCUUCAAGUAAGUACUCUUGGAUUCUUGAUUCUGGAGCUUCUUUUCAUAUGACCCCUUGUAGUUCAUUACUUACCGAAUGCACUAAGGAGGAAUCGUGCCCUUUUGUUAAAACCGCCGAUGGAACUCCUCUUGAAAUCAGAUGUGUUGGGAAUAUUGAUCAAAAUUUUGAUUCAAAAGUUUUCAAAAUACCAAAAGUUAGAUUCAUUCCCAAACUUAACUUAAAUCUCUUGUCGGUUUCUCAAAUAACAAAUCAUGGAUGUGAUAUUGUCUUCUCACAAAAUAAAUUUUUGAUACAGGACCAUCUUUCCAAGAAGACGAUUGGGGAAGGUUCUAGGAAAGAUGAUCUCUACUAUGUUGAUUAUUUGGAUCUUUCCAACCCAACUUGCAAUGUAGUCAAGAAGAGUGACAUCCAAAUUUGGCAUCAAAGACUUGGACAUUCAAGUUUAGGAAAAAUGACUUGUAUCCCUUUUUUGGAAGAGAAAUGUAAAGAAAUGAUCUCAUGUGAUGAUUGUAUUAAAGCCAAAAUUAAGGCUUUACCUUUUGGAAAUAGAAAUUUUGUUGCAAAAGCACCUUUUGAAUUAGUGCAUUCGGAUGUAUGGGGUCCCGCUCCUAUUAUGUCUAAAGGUGGUUUACUUUAUUAUGUCAUUUUUGUAGAUGAUUACUCUCGUUAUGCUUGGGUUUACUUUCUUAAAUGCAAAUCGGAAGUCUUUUUGAAUUUCAAAAACUUUUACAACAUGAUCAAAACUCAAUUUGAUGCAAACCUUAAAAUUUUUAGAAGUGAUUCCGGAGGAGAAUUCAUUUCCAAUGAAUUCGAAGAAUUCCUAAAGGAAAAGGGAGUUAUACACCAAAAGUCUUGUCCCAAAACCCCCCAACAAAACGGAAUCGCCGAAAGAAAACAUAGACAUAUUCUUGAAACAACAAGAGCUCUCCUUAUAUCAAAAAAUGUUCCAAAAAAUUUUUGGGCUGAAGCAAUUCUUACAUCCAUUUACUUGAUUAAUAGAAUGCCCUCUAAAAUUUUAGAAAAUAUUUCACCUUUUCAAAAACUUUUUAAUUUGGAGCCAAUUUAUAAAAGAUUCAAAGUCUUUGGUUGCAAAUGUUACAUUUUAAAUGACAAAAAUGAUAAACUUUCAUCUAGGGCUAUUCAAUGUGUCUUUAUUGGCUAUUCCGAAACUCAAAAAGGAUAUAGAUGCUAUGAUAUUGAAAAAGAUAAGGUCUAUGUUUCUAGAAAUGUGAUUUUUUUAGAAGAAGAAAAUGGCUUUAAUGAAAAUAAACCCAAGCAUGAAGAUGAAUAUUCCUUUUUAUGGAUAAAAGAUGAUGAUUAUGAUAAUGAUGAUGAUGAUGUUUUGCACUCUUCAUACGAUGAUGCUCUAAAUGAGGUUGAUAGCACUUCUUUUAAUAGACCACCACCAAGGGAUGUAAUAGUUUAUGAGAGAAGGUCUCAACAAAACAUCCAAGAGUCUCAACCUACUCUUAGGAGAUCUGAAAGAGAUAUUCAUCCACCUCAAAAAAUUGUCUCCUACGAGUCUUUUUCUCCAAAACAUAGAGCUUGCUUAUUAGCUAUUCACUCUCUUGAUGAACCUUCAUCCUAUGUUGAAGCCAAAACUAACCCACUUUGGGUUGAAGCCAUGAACAAUGAACUUAAAGCCCUUGAUGAUAAUAAAACUUGGGACAUUGUGUCUCUUCCUAUCGGGAAAAAGACAAUAGGAUGUAGGUGGGUUUACAAAAUCAAAACUAGAAGUGAUGGAUCUAUUGAAAGGUAUAAAGCUAGACUUGUUGCCAAAGGAUAUGCCCAAGAAUAUGGGAUUGAUUACGAAGAAACUUUUGCCCCUGUCGCUCGUAUGACCUCUGUUAGAGCUCUUAUUGUUGUUGCUUCUAUUAAACAAUGGUCCAUAUAUCAAUUGGAUGUCAAAAAUGCUUUUUUGAAUGGUUACUUAAAUGAGGAGGUAUACAUGGACUCACCCCCUGGGCUAGAUGUACCUAAAGGCAAAGUUCUUUAUCUCAGAAAGGCAUUGUAUGGUUUGAAACAAGCUCCAAAAGCUUGGUUUGAUAUGUUUAGCAAUGUUAUGUUUAAACAAGGUUUUAAAUCACGUUUUUCUGACACAGCUAUGUUUGUUAAAAACACAACUAUAGGUACAAUUGUGUUGCUUUUAUAUGUAGAUGAUAUGAUUGUUACAGGUAAUGAUGCCAACGGAAUUAUGCAGGUAAAGACUUUCCUUAAGAAUGAAUUUGAAAUGACUGAUUUGGGUAAACUAACAUAUUUCCUUGGUAUUGAAGUUGCUUAUAGUAGAAGAGGAUACUUGCUCUCACAAAUGAAGUUUGCCAAUAACAUUAUAAGCAGAUCAGGAAUCACUGAUGACAAGGUAGUGGACACUCCUGAAGCUUUAGGAGUAAAGAUGAAGAUUGAUGAUGGAGAAAUUCUAGAAAAUCCCACCCCCUUUCGUCAAUUGGUGGGAGCUCUCACAUAUUUAUCCAUCACAAGGCAUGACAUAUCACAUGCUGUACAUGUUAUAAGUCAGUUUCAACAAAGACCCACUUCAUUACACAUGGGAGCUGCAUUGAGGAUUGUUCGAUAUGUCAAACACACUAUCACUAAGGGACUUUUUCUAUCAUCCUCAUCAAACUUGAAUAUGAUUGCUUAUACUGAUGUUGAUUGGGGUGGAGAUCCUAAUAAUAGGCAUUCCACCACCGGUUUUUGUGUUUUUCUAGGUGACUCUCUCAUUUCAUGGAGAUGCAAAAAACAACAUAAAGUCUCUUUAUCUUCAACUGAAGCAUAGUAUCGUGCAAUGGCUACCACCACCAUGGAGAUUGUAUGGUUGAAAAGCUUAUUGAAGGACAUUGGAAUUGACCUCAAUGAAGCCACCAAGCUCUGCUGCGACAACAAAAGUGCCAUCUAUAUUGCUAGCAAUCACACUUUUCAUGAAAGGACAAAACAUAUUGAAAUGGAUUGUCACUAUGUGAGAGAGGAAUAUCUUAGCCGAACAAUUGAUCUAUCUUUUGUCCCUUCUGAAUAUCAACUUGGAGAUUUCUUCACCAAAGCACUGGCUUCCGCAAGAUUCCAGUUUCUUCUUGGCAAACUUUCGGUGAUUACACCGUAAGUUUGAGGGGGGGUGUUAGAAUUUAUAAUAUCACUUUAGCUCUUCUUCUUGGUGGUGACUAUUCUCAAAAGGUUCAUGGAAUAGGCCAGG